rnacentral:rRNA from 1 species
UACGAAGGGGGCUAGCGUUGAUCGGAAUUACUGGGCGUAAAGCGCACGUAGGCGGUCUUUUAAGUCGGGGGUGAAAUCCUGGAGCUCAACUCCAGAACUGCCUUCGAUACUGGAAGACUCGAGUCCGGGAGAGGUGAGUGGAACUGCGAGUGUAGAGGUGAAAUUCGUAGAUAUUCGCAAGAACACCAGUGGCGAAGGCGGCUCACUGGCCCGGUACUGACGCUGAGGUGCGAAAGCGUGGGGAGCAAACAGG